UACGUAGGGGGCUAGCGUUGUCCGGAAUCAUUGGGCGUAAAGAGCUCGUAGGUGGUUUGUCGCGUUGUUCGUGAAAACUCACAGCUCAACUGUGGGCGUGCGGGCGAUACGGGCAGACUGGAGUACUGCAGGGGAGACUGGAAUUCCUGGUGUAGCGGUGAAAUGCGCAGAUAUCAGGAGGAACACCGGUGGCGAAGGCGGGUCUCUGGGCCGAAACUGACGCUGAGGAGCGAAAGCGUGGGGAGCGAACAGG
rnacentral:rRNA from 1 species